UACGGAGGGGGCUAGCGUUGUUCGGAAUUACUGGGCGUAAAGCGCGCGUAGGCGGCUUUGUAAGUUAGAGGUGAAAGUCCGGAGCUCAACUCCGGAACUGCCUUUAAGACUGCAUCGCUAGAAUUGUGGAGAGGUGAGUGGAAUUCCGAGUGUAGAGGUGAAAUUCGUAGAUAUUCGGAAGAACACCAGUGGCGAAGGCGACUCACUGGACACAUAUUGACGCUGAGGUGCGAAAGCGUGGGGAGCAAACAGG
rnacentral:rRNA from 1 species